AUACCAUGAUGUGAGCACUUCAGGAGUAAUUCCUUAAACCUUUCCCAAGCAUCAUACAACAAUUCUCCAUCUAGCUAAUGGAAGUUAUUAAUUUCUCCUCGAUAAU